rnacentral:rRNA from 1 species
AUUGAACGCUGGCGGCAGGCCUAACACAUGCAAGUCGAACGAGUGGCGGACGGGUGAGUAAUGUCUGGGAAACUGCCUGAUGGAGGGGGAUAACUACUGGAAACGGUAGCUAAUACCGCAUACCAUACGAUGUGCCCAGAUGGGAUUAGCGAGUAGGUGGGGUAAAGGCUCACCUAGGCGACGAUCCCUAGCUGGUCUGAGAGGAUGACCGGCAACACGGGAACGUAGACACGGUCCAGACGCCUACGGGAGGAAGCAGUGGGGAAUAUUGCACAAGGGGCGCAAGCUUGCUGCAGCCAGGCGGGGUGUAUGAAGAAGGCCUCCGGGUUGUAAAGUACGUUCAGCGGGGAGGCGUUACCCGCAGAAGAAGCAACGGCUAACUCCGUGCCAGCAGCCGCGGUAAUUC